GGGAGAGAGACUGUGCAGGACUGCAGUUUGUAAGCAAUAAACAGCUUGGGAGUUAAUAUCCCAGAAGAGAGACCCUCUUUGGCAGAGUUUACAUCAAAAAUCAAGCCCUUAUCUGCAAGAUGUGGAGGAUAGAUGUGGCAGAUGGAGUUUCUGGGGAUUCCUUCAGCUUCCAUGGUGGUGGACAGGGCUUGACAGCAGACUGGACCCCAUGCAGAGCUGUAAUGGAGACACUGAAUUCUCCAAGGGGAACUCAGGGGGAGGU